rnacentral:rRNA from 1 species
AUGUACAUGCCUACAACAUAGCGUUGAUGCACAAGUUCCCACUAGAACUCCACAUCUAAGCACGCUCAGGCUAUAGUAGUACUGGGAUGGCUGAUCGCCAGGGAAGUCCUAGUGUUUUACAUU